UACGGGGGGGGCAAGCGUUGUUCGGAAUUACUGGGCGUAAAGGGCUCGUAGGUGGCCAACUAAGUCAGACGUGAAAUCCCUCGGCUUAACCGGGAACGAUGCGUCUGAUACUGGAUGGCUUGAGUUCGGGAGAGGGAUGCGGAAUUCCAGGUGUAGCGGUGAAAUGCGUAGAUAUCUGGAGGAACACCGGUGGCGAAGGCGGCAUCCUGGACCAAUUCUGACGCUGAGGAGCGAAAGCCAGGGGAGCAAACGGG
rnacentral:rRNA from 1 species